GUCUACGGCCAUACCACCCUGAAAGAGCCCGAUCUCCUCUGUUCUCGGAAGCUAAGCAGGGUCAGGCCUGGUUAGUACUUGGAUGGGAGACCCUGUUUGCCUGGGUAUCACCAGCAGAGGCUGCAGAAC
ensembl:rRNA 5S_rRNA 5S ribosomal RNA